rnacentral:piRNA from 1 species
UCCCUAAUAGUUUGCUUCAGAUAGGCAUA